rnacentral:rRNA from 1 species
GAUGAGAGUUUGAUCCUGGCUCAGGACGAACGCUGGCGGCGUGCCUAAUACAUGCAAGUCGAACGCUGCUUAGAAAGAAACUUCGGUUUUUUUCUAAGCGGAGUGGCGGACGGGUGAGUAACACGUGGGGAACCUAUCCAUCAGCGGGGGAUAACACUUGGAAACAGGUGCUAAUACCGCAUACGGCUUUUUUUCACCUGAAAGAAAGCUCAAAGGCGCUUUACAG